rnacentral:rRNA from 1 species
UACGUAGGGGGCUAGCGUUGUUCGGAAUUACUGGGCGUAAAGGGCUCGUAGGCGGCCAACUAAGUCGGACGUGAAAUCCCUCGGCUUAACCGGGGAACUGCGUCCGAUACUGGAUGGCUUGAGUUCGGGAGAGGGAUGCGGAAUUCCAGGUGGUAGCGGUGAAAUGCGUAGAUAUCUGGAGGAACACCGGUGGCGAAGGCGGCAUCCUGGACCGACACUGACGCUGAGGAGCGAAAGCCAGGGAGCGAACGGG